rnacentral:lncRNA from 1 species
AAGAAGCUAGCAGGUGUGGAUCACCUAGACGACAGUUGCAAGAACUUUCCUCCCAAAUACCUGCGAAAAAACCAGUGGGAAGGAAUGAUCACGAAGUUUUUGUCAAGCGAAUUUCAAGAAAAAUCAAAAAAGAAUUCUGAAAACCGCACAAGCAAUGAAGGAUACGUCCUCUAUAAUGGAGGAUUGGCAUCCGUUGAAACUAACACUCAAUCAUUGGUAAAACUAUUUAAUAUCUAAUUGGUUCAUUUUUUAUUUCAAGUAAUUGAUCAUUUUUUUAUGAUAUAGAGUUUGAAACUCGGUCAACCAGCUUCAUUUAAAAAAUCUUUUAUGGUCACUCAUUAUCCGAUCAACGAUAAAGGCAAGGCUCUAAUGGUACGUAUUUAAUUAUCAAUAUUUUGUAAAAAAAAAAUUCAUUACUAAUUCAUUUCUUUGUUGUUUAUAAUAGUCGGAUUACGAAACGUACAAAAAAGAACAUUUCGAUAAACAACAAUCAACAAAUGAAGACGAGGAGGAGGAGGAGUCAACACACGAAGAAGAAAUGACGACGCAAGGAUCGACAUCCUACAAGAGAAAAAGGCCGUUAUUCAUUGAUGACAGUCUGGAAGCUCGGAUUAGGGUUUCAUGAGGCAAGACGAAAGGACGUAUUCUCGGAAUGAGAUCGGGGGACGAUCCAUUGAUGCCAAAAAAAUCCAAGGCCAAAAUAAAUCAUCUAACAAAAGAAGAAAGAGAAAAGAAGAAAAAAGAAAAAUUUGAUACUCGUGUUCAAGAAACCGUUCACGCGGUCGUCAACCAGAGACUCGAGACGGUUGACCAACAAAUGGAGCUCAUGCUAAAAGUACAAACAG